AAAAAGAAAAGGCAGAUGAACCAAAUAGAUAAAAUCAUGAAUGAAAAUGGAAUUAUUAUAACCAAUCCCUCAGAGAUACAAGCAAUUAUCAGGGAAUGCUAUAAAUCCUUACUUUUGAAAAUUAGUUUAUUUUACUUCUUAAUAAACUUUAGUUUACAUGAGGAAAGGGCCUGUGGGGGAAAAAAGAGUUUGCUAUAACUUUAGCUAGCUGAAUAGUGUGUGCCUUUGAUCUUUACACAUCCUAUCUUUGCCAGUGCAACAGCCAUUCUAUUCUUAUUUGGUGAAAUUCUGGGAUGUUGUAUGCUCCUUCAUGUGAACAAGAAGAUAAGUAAACCCCCAGUUCUAUGAAAUUUACCUCCACUUCAAUAGUACUGAAUACUGUUUAGCAUUAGAGUGUUACAUUGUUUGAAUUAACUUUGAUGCCAUUUGGAGGGGAAUCAUUUUAUAUAAACCCUGGUAUCUUUUUUAUUAAUAAAGAUGUGAAAUAUUUUGCAUGUUUUAUACUAUUAAUCUUUGAUUAUCCAGGGAUAUUCUAUACAACCAUUAAUCCUUUUUAUAUGAUUUAUGCUUAGGAUACAAGUUUGUAAUUUCUUAAUCUUACUAUAUUUCAUUACUAUAUUUCAUUCAUAUUGAAGCUUGUUUACUGCAAGCAAGUUAAGUGCCAGACCUCUAGUACGCUAUGUGUCUUGUUACACGAAACUAUUUCCAAAAUCUUACCCCUUGUACUUAGGUAAUGCCAUUUGACUACUUCUAGCAGAGGGAUUACAGAGAUUGUAAACAGAAAUGAGGUGUCAUUUCAAUACUGGAGCAGAAAAAGUCCUGCGUGACCUUCCAGCCCUCUCUUUACCUGCCAUGGUGACCUGAAAGCAAUGUACUCCAAAUGGUGUAUCUAUGAGAUGGAUGCAACCUGUAUCUCUAAGUUACUCUUUACAAGGGACCUGCCUUGGAGAGCUGAUGGACUUGCAGUGAAACUUUUGAGAGUAAGAAAUAAACUGUUAUGUGUUAAGCCA